GGAGGCAGGGGGAGGCAGCCGUCGGGCACGCAGUGGACGGCGGGGGAGCCAUGGAGAGCUGCCUCCAGCUUGGAGUGGCCAAGCGACCAUUCCGGGGUCCUUCUGGAAGCCGACCUGGGACUCCAUGGUGUUGACUGAAACUUACCGCGGCAAGCUGGGCCACGAGGACGAAAGGCAACGCACCACAGGAGACUCAGUCUGCGUCCUAACUCUUCAUGAAGCCAACUUACCCACCCUGGACCGCCUACCUCUGAGAAUUCUUUGACUUACUAAAAUAAUAUGUUUGA